AUUCGCGUUUGCCGCUAAACGAAAUUCCAAUCGGCGAUCCGCAUUCUACCUGCGCAUUCGUGUCGCGCAACACGUGACCAGGCGUCAAGGUGGGGGCGGAGUGGGGGUAACCAGGUUCUCCCACUUUUGUUCGUCCCGCUUGCGAAUCGUUUCAGCGCGAUGUACAGUGCUGGAGGAUACGCCAAGUACCGAGGAGAAGGAAAAUAGGCGAGAAAGAGAGACAGCUACAUAAACACGAAGAACGGAAUACGCUCGGGAGAGGAACGAUAUACAAUACGUGGAAGCUACACGUAUCCGUGAACAGACGAUGGUUCGAAGGAAGCCAUGAGUCUCUCUGUUCCAGGGAAUGGAUCCAUGUUUUCCACUCGAGAACCGAUUUGUCGAUGACGCAGACGAAACUGAGUUCCUUUGAAGAGAGGCGAAAGACUCAUAGGAGAUACAGGUUACGGGGAAAAACUGGAAUUCUCAGUAAGAAAACGGGAGAAGGCUGGGACUGUUGGAAAACGUUCUUGGCCGCUUUUCGAUCCCUUUCCUUCUCUUUACUUUAAGUUGUUUAUCAGUACGGCGUAGAUAAGGAGACGUCGUGACUUUCGUGUUCCGUUGCUGGAUAUUGUUAAUUCUUUCCAUUUAUUAGCGUAGAAUUAUUAUUAACUUGUAAUAAGGGACGAUAGUUAAAAACUUUUUAGUGACUUGUUACAUGGAUCAAAAUAUCGUAAGUCGUUUAACACGGAUAAUGACGACAGGAUGGAGGAAAAAUAUAAAAUAGUUACAAAGAAAUAAUUAUAAUCAUGAUUACGAUAUCUUCGUAAGAAAUGAGAAGUGAUUAUAAACAAAAUGUACAAUUUUCCAGACGAUGUUGAAAUCGGCAAAAGAUAUUCGAUUGAACUUGAAAAAUUUCUAUUGUAA
rnacentral:misc_RNA from 1 species